CCUACGGGGGGCAGCAGUGGGGAAUUGUUCGCAAUGGGCGCAAGCCUGACGACGCAACGCCGCGUGGAGGAUGAAGAUCUUCGGGUCGUAAACUCCUUUCGACCGAGAUGAAUUCUCACCGACCUAAUACGUCGGUGGGGUGACAGUAUCGGGAGAAGCAGCCCCGGCUAACUCCGUGCCAGCAGCCGCGGUAAUACGGGGGGGGCAAGCGUUGUUCGGAAUUACUGGGCGUAAAGGGUUCGUAGGUGGCCGACUAAGUCAGACGUGAAAUCCCUCAGCUCAACUGGGGAACUGCGUCUGAGACUGGACGGCUCGAGGACAGGAGAGGAACGCGGAAUUCCAGGUGUAGCGGUGAAAUGCGUAGAUAUCUGGAGGAACACCGGUGGCGAAGGCGGCGUUCUGGACUGUUUCUGACACUGAGGAACGAAAGCCAGGGGAGC
rnacentral:rRNA from 1 species